rnacentral:rRNA from 1 species
UACGGAGGGAGCUAGCGUUGUUCGGAAUUACUGGGCGUAAAGCGCACGUAGGCGGCUUUGUAAGUUAGAGGUGAAAGCCUGGAGCUCAACUCCAGAACUGCCUUUAAGACUGCAUCGCUUGAAUACGGGAGAGGUGAGUGGAAUUCCGAGUGUAGAGGCGAAAUUCGUAGAUAUUCGGAAGAACACCAGUGGCGAAGGCGGCUCACUGGACCGGUAUUGACGCUGAGGCGCGAGAGCGUGGGGAGCAAACAGG